GUGGGGAAUAUUGGACAAUGGGGGGAACCCUGAUCCAGCCAUGUCGCGUGUGUGAAGAAGGCCUUUUGGUUGUAAAGCACUUUAAGCGAGGAGGAGGCGCUCUAGGCUAAUACCCUAGAUGCGUGGACGUUACUCGCAGAAUAAGCACCGGCUAACUCUGUGCCAGCAGCCGCGGUAAUACAGAGGGUGCGAGCGUUAAUCGGAUUUACUGGGCGUAAAGCGCGCGUAGGUGGCUAAUUAAGUCAAAUGUGAAAUCCCCGAGCUUAACUUGGGAAUUGCAUUCGAUACUGGUUGGCUAGAGUAUGGGAGAGGAUGGUAGAAUUCCAGGUGUAGCGGUGAAAUGCGUAGAGAUCUGGAGGAAUACCGAUGGCGAAGGCAGCCAUCUGGCCUAAUACUGACACUGAGGUGCGAAAGCAUGGGGAGCAAACAGGAUUAGAAACCCUGGUAGUCC
rnacentral:rRNA from 1 species